rnacentral:rRNA from 1 species
GGCUACACACGUGCUACAAUGGGUAGUACAGAGAGUCGCAAAGCCGUGAGGUGGAGCUAAUCUCAGAAAACUAUUCUUAGUUCGGAUUGUACUCUGCAACUCGAGUACAUGAAGUUGGAAUCGCUAGUAAUCGCGAAUCAGCAAUGUCGCGGUGAAUACGUUCUCGGGUCUUGUACACGCCGCCCGUCACACCACGAGAGUUGGUUGCACCUGAAGUAGCAGGCCUAACCGUAAGGAGGGAUGCUCCGAGGGUGUGAUUAGCGAUUGGGGUGAAGUCGUAACAAGGUAUCCGUACGGGAACGU